rnacentral:lncRNA from 1 species
GGAAUUUGGAAGGAUUUUGAGGGGUUUUGGGGAGAUUUUGGGGAAUUUUGGGGGAUUUUUGGGGGGAUAUUGGGGGGAAUUUUGGGGGAUUUGGGGAAGUUUUGGGGAAUUUAGGGGGAAUUUUGGGGAUUUUUGGGGGAAAUUUUGGGGGAUUUUGAGGGGUUUUUGGGGAAUUUUGGGGGACUUCUGGGGGAAUUUCGCAGAUUUUUAGGGGAGUUUGGGGGAAUUUCGGGGGAUUUUGGGGGAUUUGAGAUUUUGGGAGGGAAUUUUGGGGGGAUUUUGGGGGAAUUUGGGGAAAUUUUGGGGAGUUUGGGGUAAAUUUGGGGGGAUUUGGUGGAAUUUGGGAGGACUUUGGGAGAAAUUUGGGAUUUGAGGGUUUUUGGGUGGAAUUUGAGGAUUUUUGUUGAAAUUUUUGGCAUUUGGGGUGGAAUUUUGGGAAUUUGGGGGUUUUGGGGUGGAAUUUGGGAAUUUUGGGGUGGAAUUUUGGGAAUUUGGGAAUUUGUGGGUGGAAUUUGGGGAUUUUGGGGUGGAAUUUGGGAAUUUUGGGGUGGAAUUUUGGGAUUCCCCCCCCCAGGUCCGCCAGCCGCUCCGGGGAGAGGAAGAAGAGCAAGAAGAAGAAACAUCGGUGAGAGGGGGCGGGGCCUCGAUAAAGGGGCGUGGCCACUGGAAAAUGGGCGUGGUCUCAACCAUUAAAGGGGCGUGGCUUUGUUUAUCAAAGGGUUGUGGCCUCAUCUAUUAAAGGGGCGUGGCCUCAUAGAUUAGUGGGGCGUGGUCUUGUCUAUCAGGGGCGUGGCCUUAUCUAUUAUAGGGGCGUGGCCUCGACUAUCAAAGGGGCGUGGCCACUGAAAAAUGGGUGUGGCCUUAAAGGAGCGUGGCAUUAUCGACUAAAGGGGGCGUGACCUCCUCUAUCAAAGGGGCGUGGCUUUAUCAAAGGGGCGUGGCCUCAUCUAUAAAAGGGGCGUGGCCUCAUCUAUUAAAGGGAUGUGGUCUCUUCUAUUAAAGGGGCGUGGCCUCAUCUAUUAGAGGGGCGUGGCCUUGCCAAUGGGGCAUGGCCACUGGAAAUGGGUGUGACCUCAAAGGGGCGUGGCCUCAUAUAGUAAAGGGGUGUGGCCUUGUCUAUCAAAGGGGUGUGGCCUCAUCUAUUAUAGGGGCGUGGCCUCGUCAAUGGGGCGUGGCCACUGGAAAAUGGGUGUGACCUUAAAGGGGCGCGGCCUCAUCUAUUAGAGGGGCGUGGCCUUGUCUAUCAAAGGGGCGUGGCCUCAUCUAUAAAUGGGGCGUGGUCACUGUAAAUUAGUUGUGACCUCGAAUGGGCGUGGCCUCAUAGAUUAAAGGGGCGUGGUCUUGUCUAUCAAAGGGGCGUGUCCUUAUCAAAAGGGCGUGGCCUAAUCUAUAAAAUAAAUUUCACCUAUUGAAGGGGUGUGACCUUUUA